rnacentral:tRNA from 1 species
GCCCGUCUAGCUCAGUCGGUAGAGCACGAGACUCUUAAUCUCGGGGUCGUAGGUUCGAGCCCCAAGUUGGGCG